GAUGCACAAAAUUCGUCCCUCAGCCUGGAUUGCAAGAGGGCGCAGGCCAGGCUGAGGGACCCCAUUGGUGCACA
rnacentral:pre_miRNA from 1 species